CUCUGAAGACUUCAGACACAAAGACAGGACACGUCUCUUGUCUCCGUUUGGAUUUUACUGGACUGAAGACUCAAAAAGCGAGAAGAUGCUCUUCAUCCUCCCGCUGCUCCUCUUCCUCACCUCCUGUGUCUCUGGAACAUUUGUAGUGAAUGUGACUCAGACUUCCUAUCAGGCAGAGGAGAACCAGAACAUCACCCUGGAGUGGACCUUCAGCACCAGAAGAGAAACUUCACUCAGAUCCAUCUCUACUCUCUGUAAGAUGUUUACUGAGAGCAGACCCUACUUCCUGUUUAAUCUAAAUGAAGGUGUUGAAUCCCCAGAGUCUCAGGAUCCAGAGUUUUCAGGACGAGUCCAGUGGGACAAAGACGUCCUCACAGAAGGACGCCUCACACUUCAUGUCUCCAGACUCAGGACCAGUGACUCUGGGUUUUAUGUUUGUGACAUAUUCGUCAGACCUGAUGGGAGUAACUCUAGGAGAUGCUGGCUGAAUGUGACUGCUGCUGCUGAGCUCCAAACUCAGAGACCAACAGAGAGUCCACAAGAAGUGAGAGAGGGAAACAUCUGGAUCUACGUUACAGGGACACUGUUUUCUUUAAUUCUUUCUCUUAUUUCUUUUUUUUUUAAUUUAUAUGCAAUGGACUUAUAUGUUUCUUUUUAUUCAAAAAUAUUGUAUUCUCCUUUUUUUUAUUUUUC